AUUGAACGCUGGCGGCAGGCCUAACACAUGGAAGUCGAGCGGAUGAAGGGAGCUUGCUCCUGGAUUCAGCGGCGGACGGGUGAGUAAUGCCUAGGAAUCUGCCUGGUAGUGGGGGAUAACGUCCGGAAACGGGCGCUAAUACCGCAUACGUCCUGAGGGAGAAAGUGGGGGAUCUUCGGACCUCACGCUAUCAGAUGAGCCUAGGUCGGAUUAGCUAGUUGGUGGGGUAAAGGCCUACCAAGGCGACGAUCCGUAACUGGUCUGAGAGGAUGAUCAGUCACACUGGAACUGAGACACGGUCCAGACUCCUACGGGAGGCAGCAGUGGGGAAUAUUGGACAAUGGGCGAAAGCCUGAUCCAGCCAUGCCGCGUGUGUGAAGAAGGUCUUCGGAUUGUAAAGCACUUUAAGUUGGGAGGAAGGGCAGUAAGUUAAUACCUUGCUGUUUUGACGUUACCAACAGAAUAAGCACCGGCUAACUUCGUG
rnacentral:rRNA from 1 species